CUCUGUGCACAUACUAAUUGUUAAUUCUUUGUUUUGUUGAUCAAGUAAAAUUUACAGUGAAGAUGCCAGGCAUGCCAUAUAUCAGAGUGGUGAGUAGGCAGUGCUCUCUAUGUAAUCUUAUAUUCACAUUAAUCACGGACUACAAAUGACGUUUCGGUUGGUUGUUUUGACUUGUUUACUGAGUCCUUAUUUGGGAAUCCACCUCCACUGAAGACUCAUGUUUUUUUUUCUUUAAGCCUGGUCAUCUUGACCGUCUUCCCAUGGAGAACGCACUGACACUCAUGUCCAAUAAGGGCCCCAUUGUUCCUCAGAUCAUUAAACUGCUGGAUUUGUUUUAUUUCAAAGAGCUCUAUGAUUGAAGCCUUGAAGAGGGGACAGCACAAAAUGUAAGGUGGCAGGACCCUGAUGCUGCUAACAUUUGCGGGACAUUAAACUGGAGAACCUGCUGGUAAACCAGGACACCAUGGAGGUCAAUUUGACUGACAUUGAGUGCAACCUUUAAAGUUUUACAUGGAACAAAAGUGUACGGUCCUUUAGAGUUCAGCAUGAAGGGCAUGUACAAUGCAAGGCUGAUGACAGUGUGGAGACUACGGUUCCUCCUGUAUGAAAUGGUUUGCAAGGAACAUCCUACAGCCUAUGACUUUCAGGUAAUCAGUGUGGACCUCUGGACCAGACCUGGACUGUCACAAUUCUUUUUGUACUGAAAACUCCCAGAUGAUCUGUGCUUGUCUACAGCCUAAGCCACAGAAGAGACCCAUGCUGGAAUGGUAAUACAGAAGCAAAAUAUAGGACAUGCAACAGAGGAUGAGCUGAUUGACUUAAUACUGACAUCAAGUGUUGUUUACAUUUAAAUGAGCCUCAUCAUUCUAUGUCAGUACAGCAGCUCAAGUUUACAUUUGAUAUCAACACAACUGUCCCUGAAGCCUUGAAGCCUGAUCAAAUGUGUAACAAGCUCUACCAGGGCAUCUACCGCUCUGUGGCGCAACCCAUGAGGAAGACACGUAGUGGUCGGGAGCAUCCCCCCAUACUAUAACGCCUUCAGCUGGGACUGAAGAUCAAGCAGCGCCUGUGGCUGAUGUUCAUC